ACCCGUGUCUCUUCUCUUUUUGUUUUGCAGUUCCAUUGUGCGCAAACGCGGGCAGCCGGGGCGCCGAGGACAGCAGUUAUCUCUCCUCCCCCAUGAGGCCGAGCUAUUAGCUGGGAUAGGGGAGGAUGAGAUCACCCAGCUGCAGGCUCAUCAAGAUCGUAUCAAGGCCCAGCGCCACCGGAAGCGGAGGGAGGAGGAGGAGCAGGAGUCCUCCAGUUCAUCCUCGACAUCAAGCAGUGCUAUCCAGUCAGAGGGGGAGACGCAGGAGGAGGAGGAGGCUGAGGCGGGAACGCCCACAUCUACUGAGGCUGAGCAGGAUGUGGAGGAGAUCUGCCCUGUAGAGGCUGCUGGGGAUGCUCAAGAUGGUGUCCAACAGCCAGGCGCGUCAGGUC